rnacentral:tRNA from 1 species
GCCGACGUCCAGGUUGUGGGAGGCGAAACCGGCGAGCUGCUGCGCCGUGGACAGCUCGUGCAGCUCCAGUUCGAGGCCGGAGCGGCGGCG